CUUCGCGCCCGACCAGCCGCCGCUGCGCACGUAGUCAUCCGCCUGCAACAACCGCCGCGUCGCCGCCAGCAUCAACGUCAUGGCGAUAUCUGCGACCGCGGCCGCGUUCGCCGGGGCUGUUGCCGACAAGUAUCUUGCGCUUUGCCGUCUCCGCGAAAUCAACGCCGUCAUAGCCGGUGCCGUAGCAGACGAUUGCUCCAAGCGAUGGCAGCGUAUCCAGAACCGUUGC
rnacentral:misc_RNA from 1 species